GGGAUUGGGGCGAUGGGGGCAGCAGCUGUCUCAGGGCACCUGCCUGCACCUGGAAUAUACAAUAGGGAACCAUCUGGUACUGAUAGGGGGCGAGGAAGGAGUAUGCAAUGACCUAGUAGGGCUUCACCAACUCUAAAUGCAUUUACUUGAGGUCUGCUGUGCCGGCUGUCUGCGCAGAGCUGAGACAGCACACAGAGAGAACACACACACCUAACUACACUGGUGACCCCCGACUACUGAUCUGUUACCAGUCCAUGAAAGGACCUUCCCUCUUAUCCCAUGACAACCCCCGUCUGCCCCUUCCUAGAGAGCAGAAGGUGAUUUUCUUUGGGCUUGUCUACACUACCAGCCGGAUCGACUGGCAGUGAUCGAUCCAGCGGUGGGGGGGGAGGGCUGUCGAUUUAUUGUGUCUAAUAUAGACGCGAUAAAUCGACUGCUGAUCACUCUAGCGUCGACUCAACAAGAAGCGCAAGGGGAAUCGAUGGGAGAGCAUCUCCCAUCAACACACCGCAGUGAAGACACCGCAGUAAAUAGAUCUAAAUAUGUCGACUUCAGCUACCUUAUUCACGUAGCUGAAGUUGCCUGAGAUCGACAGCCCCCCCAGUGUAGACCAGCCCGUUCAUCUCGAACGCACUGAGUAACAGCAUAGCUAAAUAAAGCAAAUUCCCGACAGAAGUUUAAGCAAGCAUUCACCAUGUCUCCAUCAUUCUUUCAGGGCCUUCCUCUCUCUCCUGUUGUUAGCACUAUAGCAUUUCGGAGCCCCACCGCUGCUAGACAUUGUCCAUCUCUUCAUCAGUGAGAGACACCUCCCACCCCCGGCCUGGUGCAAGUCUUUGAAGUAAAAAUAUUAACUUGCUUUUUUAUAUUAGCUGUGGAGACUGAGGGCCAAUUCUGUGGCCCCACUCAGUUCCUUUUAUGGUGCCAGAAGAAUGCAAAAGUGAUAGAACGGGGAAUUGCCUGGUGGUGUAGGCCUAGCUGUCUCUAUGGCAUACCCUCUUCUCCUGCCACUGUUCCCCCCAUGUAGGAGCAUUUGAGAAUGUGGCUGGUGUACACCGAACCCUAGUGAUCAAAAGCUAAUACUGCUGGUACAAGUUAGAGCAGCUUUGAGGCUCCCCCCCAAGAUCAAGGGUGGAAAGCCACCUACCUCACCUGUGACACAGAGACUCCUUGGUAAAGGGUCCCCUGUUCUUUGCAAACAGAUCAUCUCAGAUCUGACAAACUCACUACACCAAACACAUGUAUUGCAGGGUAUUUAUCCAUAACAGGUAACUGUGACAGGUUACCCCCUUGUGGCUGCCAACUGAUGAGCCAAGACUACUUCUGCCCCUGCUUUGGCUGCCAGCUUGGGACUCCAGCACCCUGCCUGGUUUGAGCCAG